rnacentral:misc_RNA from 1 species
GUGCUCCAUGGUGACCCAGGAGAUGGAUAACUACGAGCCGUGCAUCUACACCAAGCGCGUGCUGGAAGCAGUCACCGUGCUCAGGGAUCAAGUGAUGUCAAAAUUCGCGGUGCGCGUAGACGCGGCCGUGUCUGCUCUGGGAGGAGGCGCCGGUUUGGAUGAAAACGAGUUUAUCGACGCGUCCCGUCUGGUGUAUGACGGCGUGAGGGAGAUACGCCGCGCCGUGCUCAUGAACCGGACGAGCGACGAUCUCGACACAGACACGGAGUUCGAACCCGUCGAAGACAUGACCAUGGAGACUAGAAGCCGAUCGAGCGCGCACACCGGGGAACACGGUGUGGACGAGUACCCUGACAUCAGCGGCAUCACCAACGCUAGGGAAGCCAUGCGAAAGAUGACAGAGGAAGACAAACGCAAGAUCCUGCAGCAAGUGGAGCUGUUCCGCCGCGAGAAGAUGACGUUCGACAACGAGGUCGGCAAGUGGGACGACGCGGGCAACGACAUCAUCACGCUCGCCAAGCACAUGUGCAUGAUCAUGCUCGAGAUGACGGACUUCACCAGGGGCCGCGGUCCUCUGAAAACCACCAUGGACGUCAUCAACGCAGCCAAGAAGAUCUCCGAGGCUGGCACCAAGCUGGACAAACUCACUAGGGAGAUCGCUGAACAGUGCCCAGAAUCUUCCACGAAGCAAGACUUACUGGCGUACCUGCAGCGUAUCGCCUUAUACUGCCACCAGAUACAGAUCACCAGCAAAGUGAAGGCUGACGUGCAGAAUAUCUCCGGAGAGCUCAUCGUUAGCGGGCUCGACAGCGCUACGUCUCUCAUCCAAGCGGCCAAGAACUUGAUGAAUGCCGUCGUGCUCACGGUGAAGGCGUCCUACGUCGCUUCUACCAAGUACACGAGGCAGGGAACCAUCGCUUCCCCAAUAGUGGUGUGGCGCAUGAAAGCCCCAGAGAAGAAGCCCCUCGUGCGUCCUGAGAAGCCCGAGGAGGUCCGCGCCAAGGUGCGCCGCGGCAGCCAGAAGAAACAACCAAGCCCCGUGCACGCGCUGGCAGAGUUCCAAUCACCGGCCGAGAGCGUUUAAUGUGGGGAAGCUGACAUUCACCACGCAUCAGCAUCACGAAGUAGAAAAUUAUAAGCAUUUGUUCAACAUUAAGCUCAUAUUUAUAUUCCAAAAGUGUGAUUUUCUUUUAAUGUAUUGGAAAAAUAUUUUUUACAUUUUUAUUCAUUAUUAUUUAAUCUUAUUUCGAUGGGAAAUAUGUAAUCACAUACCUGUUACUUUUUAUAUGUUCUCUAUUAACACAAAUAGUCAAUGCGGACAUUAUAUUAAAAUUAACAACAAGAAAUCGGCAGACACAGCUCAAUCUGAACAUAUCGAAAAUGAUAAUUGUUUCAGAAUUAUUUUGACAAUAACUUAAGUACUUACUAAAAUAAUACACACUUUUAACAUUUGCAUUGACUAUCUGUGUCCGAACAUUAAGUAAAAUAAAUAACAUUCAUGAUACUAUAAAGAAAGGUUUAAAAGAACUUUAACACUUGGUUAAAAAGUAUUAAAAUUGAGGUUAAUUUUGUUUCACACAGAUACAUUUUUAAACCACACUUAGUGAACCACUCCUCCUCGUGUGAGACUUAAACGCACCACUUCAGGAUAAGAGCUAUUAAAAUCCCGCUCUACCAACUAAGCUAUCGAGUCUCACCCGAAGCUCAAACUUUUUUUUAAUAUUUUUAUACUCGUUUGAUUAUAUAUUUCUCAUCCCGUAGUUUAAGUAUGGUUUGCGUUUGUAACAGAUACAAGGAAGCCAUCAAUGAUUGUGUGACGCCUAACGUACAAUAAGGCAGCCAAAUGUAGGUCCGGUAGUUUUAUAUCCCGUAGGUAAAUCAUACUUUUCACCGUUAUAACAAAAUCUAGAAAUAUUCGAAACGAGUGAUAUUCGAAAAGAAAUUCAAAACGAGUGGCGAUACAUUAAAACACGAACGUAGAGAUCGAGUUGCGAAUGACUUAUUCGCACAUGUAAUAUAUCUGUGCUGUAAUAUAGCGCCAUAUGUAUUGUAGUGCUUUAUGAAAACUCAUUUUUACUAUUUCAUUGGGGUAGGUACUAUUUAAAUGACCAUAAAAACACAACUACUUAUAGAAUUUCAGAAAAAAACAUAUUUUUACGUGCGUUAACAAACAUUUUGGGGCCUUUUUUUGAAAUUCUUAGAUGGCCUAAAUUAUAUUAUUUUUUGACACUUUUUUUUCUCUUAUGAAUAUAGCAAAAGUUAGUCCUAUACAUUGUGCCCCUUUCUAAUGCUCAUAAGUGUUUUUGUUUUAACGGUGUCAAGUUUGUAGCAUAUAUUAUAUAACUAUGAAUUAACGAAUGUAACGAAAAGUAUUAAAAUUAACAUUAAUGUAUAAGAAAGAGCUGUUCGUUUAUUUGUUACGACAAAUUAUUUAUAUUUUAUCAUUAAGUUAGUUAAGCAAUUACUAACAUUUUGUUUAAUAUGUCUUACUUGCAAGUUAAUUUUUUUCGGUUUUACCUUAAGUUUAACAAUGACAAAUUUUCUUAACCUAUUCUUAAAGGAUCGCUAUCCAUUGCAUUAACUGCUUACUUUGACAGCUGGUGUAGAUGGCGCUGUAAAACUACAGUAACAUUAGUUUACUUAAAAUCCAAUGAUAUGCAUGCCACUUAAUAUGGCGCAGUAAAGCGCCAUCUAUUUUAGCUGACAAACAAGGAACAAGAGAAUUUCUAUACUCAAAAAUAAAUGCAAACGCAAUGAUGCAGCAUAUAUCUAUGUAUUAUUUUACAUACCUUACUGUUUUUUUUUAUAUUUCAUGAGAUUUUCUAUUGACAAUACACUAAAAUAAUGCUACUUUUCUAAGUAGGGAUAUAAUCAUUUAUAUUGUAUUGUUUAGUUUUAAGGGCAGCUCUCAAAAUUUACUAUCAGAACUUAGAUAUAUGUAUAAGUAAGAAAUACAUAGCAAUACUUUAUAUACCUUGUACUUUAUGUAACCGAUUCUUAUUUAAUAUCAUUUGAAGUACAUAUUUAACCUUUUAUUAAAGAAAUUUUCUUUCUUUCUUUUCUUGUAGGUACAUAUAUAACCAGUACUUACCGCGACAGUAAAUUGUUAAGAUUAAUAUUUGAAUUUAAUAUCGGAAUUAAAAUUCAUAUCAAUAAAAACCAUAUACAUGAAGAUGUAAUUUACGAAAAGGUUAAAUUUGUACAUCUAUAUGUUUUAUUUUUUUUUACUUAAAAGACGUCCGAAUAUAUAACCGAAAUAUUUUUCGCCAUUUUUUUAGUUUUUUUCCGUAGAAUAUUUAACUUGCAAUUUAUUGUUAAAACAAUAUUAAAUAUGUAUUCUUGCCACAUACACAAGUAAAUCGGACGUCAGUUUAUAUAAAUUAAUAUCACUAUUAGACUUAAACAAUGUACUCGUUGUACCCUCUAUAUCCCAAAAAACAUGUGCAUGCGAGUUUUGAAAGGGUUUUUUGAUACACAUGAGAGUAAGUUAAAUCUCGAGUUUGCAAUAUUCUUAAACCUUGAGCUACAAGCAAUGUUUUGCAUCGCACUUGCAAUAUAAAAAAAGUUUAAAUAAUGUACUAGAAAUUUCAUAAUUCCCUGGGGAGUAGGAUUUUUUUAUAACUCCCGCUCCGCCUGCGUGCAUUUGCACAUUUACUGUGGGAGUGUGAUGAAAAAUUUGUUUUAUGGACAAGCUUAAAAAAAAUCAACACUGAACCGCUGUCAAAAUUCGUAGUAAAUCAGUAGAACUAUUAUUUACUAGCUUUUGCCCGCGGCUUCGCUCGCGUUAGAAA